UACGUAGGGGGCUAGCGUUGUCCGGAAUCAUUGGGCGUAAAGAGCGUGUAGGCGGCCCGGUAAGUCCGCUGUAAAAGUCAAAGGCUCAACCUUUGAAUGUCAGUGGAUACUGCCGGGCUAGAGUCCGGAAGAGGCGAGCGGAACUCCUGGUGUAGCGGUGGAAUGCGCAGAUAUCAGGAAGAACACCAGCGGCGAAGGCAGCUCGCUGGGACGGUACUGACGCUGAGACGCGAAAGCGUGGGGAGCGAACGGG
rnacentral:rRNA from 1 species